UACAGGGGGGGCAAGCGUUAAUCGGAAUUACUGGGCGUAAAGCGUGCGUAGACGGCUAUCUAAGUCGGGUGUGAAAGCCCCGGGCUCAACCUGGGAAUUGCAUUCGAGACUGAAUAGCUAGGGUACGGUAGAGGGAAGCGGAAUUCCUGGUGUAGCGGUGAAAUGCGUAGAUAUCAGGAGGAACACCGGUGGCGAAGGCGGGUCUCUGGGACGGUACUGACGCUGAGACGCGAAAGCGUGGGGAGCGAACAGG
rnacentral:rRNA from 1 species